rnacentral:rRNA from 1 species
AUAGCGUAUAUUAAAGUUGUUGCAGUUAAAAAGCUCGUAGUUGAACUUCAGACCUGGCUGGGUGGUCGGCCUAACGGUAUGUACUGUCCGGCUGGGCCUUACCUCUUGGUGAGCCGGCAUGCCCUUCACUGGGUGUGUCGGGGAACCAGGACUUUUACCUUGAGAAAAUUAGAGUGUUCAAAGCAGGCCUAUGCCUGAAUACAUUAGCAUGGAAUAAUAAAAUAGGACGUGCGGUUCUAUUUUGUUGGUUUCUAGAGUCGCCGUAAUGAUUAAUAGGGAUAGUUGGGGGCAUUGGUAUUGAGUCGCUAGAGGUGAAAUUCUUGGAUUGACUCAAGACCAACUAUUG